AAUGUCUCCGUCCCUCAAAACUCAGUACCUCCUUGUGCUCGAAAAGCCAUCCAUAAUCUUCUAAUUUAGUUGCAAACUUAACUACCAAAAAGCACAAUGAAGCCUUUACUUGCCUCAUCUUUUGCCAAAACACAUUCUCCAUGCCCGUAUACAGUUUUGAGAUAUUGUUUAACUCCUUUAGAAGUGUAAGAUACAGAGACCACCAUUGUACAACUCGCACAUCUUCUACUUCCUCUUUCAAACCCAACCGGGUUUCCAAAAGCCCUAAAGACAACAGCGUUGCUUUUAGCAAACCACGGAAAGAAUAAUAUAAACACUCAAUACUCUGUCUGUAAUACUCUGCGUCACCGGUGUCAUUCUUUAUCAACGGAUAAG
rnacentral:misc_RNA from 1 species